UCCGCCGUUGCAGCCUAGGGAUUUGGAAUGUAGUGAGUGGGAAGGAAGCGAAGAUGCUCUGUGGUGGAUUCUUUUGGGGAAAUUGGAUCCGAACCCAACCAUGUACGACAUUCUGAUUGGGUUAUCUCCGAUUAUGUAAUCAACUUGUCGCUUCGAUAGGCUUAUCAAGGCAUUGGGGACGAUAACAGAGUUUCCGCAGUUGAAUGUGUGUUUUGUGGCUUUCAUGUAUUUGGCGUAAGUCGUGAGCAAGAAUGUUAUGGAGGUUACGUAUUGCAGAUUGCUUUGAGGUAUUUGAUAUGGAGAAUUAGAUCAUUACCUUGAGUGUAUUGGGUUGAUGAGGAAGGAGAAUCUGGAAGGAUUUGGCACAUGAAAUUCUCAGCUGCUUGCUUGUAUGGUUCGAAGUUGAUGUCUUUGUUAAGUAAUGCUCUCUGCCAAAAGUAAUGAUUUUGAAUUAGUGAGUCAGAUAGUCUGAUGCUAAAGCAUGGGUUUUUAUAAGAAACGAGACAAACCCGUGACAGAAGAACAUAGGCGCCAGCAUAUUUAUUGUCCCAGCUGAAGAUGUCAGGUUGAUCUCCACCUCCUAAAGAUUUGAUGAAGUUUGCGUAAUAUGGGUUAUUGGUUGCUCUCAGCAGCCAGGAAGCACCCCACAUCAGCUCGUCCUGUUAUCAGAAAAUCACAUUUCAAAAUGAGGAUCCGAUGUUGUCGUAAAGAGUGGUUUAGUUGAGAGAUGAAACAUAUGAAAGCAGACCUUGUAACCAGAGUAGGAACAGUAGAAAGGACAGACGGAUGAAGAAAGGGAAUCACUGUAAGCUCCCCUGUAUUGAAUGGCAAAUUGCAUCACAUCUUUAGCUGUUGCCAGCAGCAAACGCGAAUACGUAGAAUCAACUUUUCUGAAAACCAUAGAAGCUGCAGCUAGAGCUGCUGCUGUUUCAGCUGCAACAUCAGAACCGGGGUUAGAAGGGGAUACAGAGUAAACUGUACGUGGUGUGUCCAUGUCCUCAGGUCGUUCCCAGCAUUUGUGAUCAACAUUAGGAUCUCCUACCCCAACAUAAAGCUUUCCUGGAGUGGCUCUAGCACAUUUCAGCAGGUAAUCUGUGGCCCAACGGAUGUUCACACGUGCGUUUUGCAGCUCAGGACCCAUCCGCUUGCCGUACUCAAGUGCGCUCCAUGAGAGCAUCGUGGUGGUAAACGCCAUUGGGAAAUUGAACUUAACGUUAUCUCCUGCGUCAUAGUACCCGCCGGUUAAAUUGUUUAGGGUAUGUACAUGAGCGGAGGAGCCAUCAGAAAGGCCAGAGCUAGCCCUCCAUGAGAGUUGUUGGCCUCUAGGAAGGCGACCGGAACGCUGACCUUGGAAGAAAAGCAAUGACUUGGAGAGAGCUUCUCUGUAGUUUGGGUUGGCAUCAACAUUGCCUGUGAGAAGAGACGAGAAAAGGAAAACAAAGAAGAAUGGAGAAGUCAUUUUCCAAAGACAGAGAAGUAAAUUGCUUUUGAGGUACGAAUCUAUUACGUGCAGGUCCACAUAUAUAUAUAGAGAAAGGGAGAUGCAGAGAUAAGAGAGAUAGGAGAGAGAAUGAUCCGGCGCUGAUGGAAGCGAUAAAUAUGGCUUUAUGGGUAAUCAACGUGCUCCUAAACAAAAGUACCUUAAUUUCUCCAAUCUAAAUCCUCUUUUUUAACUAUUUUAUGCAUAGUCCUUACCUUAGUCCCUUAACCAAAUCCUAUUUUUCUCUUUUCUGUCUAUUGUUAAACUUUAGUCUUCUUUAUCUAUUCAAAUUCCUGUUUAUUUUUUCUUUGUAAAUAUUUGUCUUUUUAAGUGUUGAAAAAUGGAAUAAACUAGGAUUUGGCA